UACAGAGGUCCCAAGCGUUGUUCGGAUUCACUGGGCGUAAAGGGUGUGUAGGCGGCGAGGUAAGUUGCGUGUUAAAUUUCAGGGCUUAACCCUGAAACCGCUCGCAAUACUGCUUUGCUCGAGGACUGUAGAGGAGACUGGAAUUCACGGUGUAGCAGUGAAAUGCGUAGAUAUCGUGAGGAAGACCAGUGGCGAAGGCGAAUCUCUGGGCAGUUCCUGACGCUGAGACACGAAGGCCAGGGGAGCAAACGGG
rnacentral:rRNA from 1 species